rnacentral:rRNA from 1 species
GACGAACGCUGGCGGCGUGCUUAACACAUGCAAGUCGAGCGGAAAGGCCCUUCGGGGUACUCGAGCGGCGAACGGGUGAGUAACACGUGAGUAACCUGCCCUUCACUUUGGGAUAACCCUCGGAAACGGGGGCUAAUACCGGAUAUGACAUGGGAUCGCAUGGUCUUGUGUGGAAAGUUUUUCGGUGGGGGAUGGGCUCGCGGCCUAUCAGCUUGUUGGUGGGGUGAUGGCCUACCAAGGCGACGACGGGUAGCCGGCCUGAGAGGGCGACCGGCCACACUGGGACUGAGACACGGCCCAGACUCCUACGGGAGGCAGCAGUGGGGAAUAUUGCACAAUGGGCGGAAGCCUGAUGCAGCGACGCCGCGUGAGGGAUGACGGCCUU